GACGAACGCUGGCGGCGUGCUUAACACAUGCAAGUCGAACGGUGACGAGGAGCUUGCUCCUCUGAUCAGUGGCGAACGGGUGAGUAACACGUGAGCAACCUGCCCCAGACUCUGGGAUAACAGUUGGAAACAGCUGCUAAUACCGGAUACGAGACGGAGAGGCAUCUCUACCGUCUGGAAAGUUUUUCGGUCUGGGAUGGACUCGCGGCCUAUCAGCUAGUUGGUGAGGUAAUGGCUCACCAAGGCGACGACGGGUAGCCGGCCUGAGAGGGCGACCGGCCACGACUGGGACUGAGACACGGCCCAGACUCCUACGGGAGGCAGCAGUGGGGAAUAUUGCACAAUGGGCGAAAGCCUGAUGCAGCGACGCCGCGUGAGGGAUGACGGCCUCGGUUGUAACCGUACUUCUAGCAGGAAGGAAGACGAAGUAGACGGUACGUCGCAGAAGAAGACACCGACGAACUACGUACGCCGACGCAGCCGCCGGUACGUACUCGU
rnacentral:rRNA from 1 species